GCGCCUGUGGCCAAACUGGAUAAGGCACCAGUCUACGAAACUGGCGAUUACAGGUUCGAAUCCUGUCAGGCGCGCCA
rnacentral:tRNA from 1 species